GGGCGGCAGCUACCAUGCAAGUCGAACGGUAACUCAGCUAGCUUGCUAGUUGCUGACGAGUGGCGGACGGGUGAGUAAUGCUUGGGAAUUUGCCUUUGGGAGGGGGAUAACCACUGGAAACGGUGGCUAAUACCGCAUAACGUCUACGGACCAAAGGGGGCUUAGGCUCCCACCUAUAGAGAAGCCCAAGUGAGAUUAGCUAGUUGGUGAGGUAAAGGCUCACCAAGGCGACGAUCUCUAGCUGUUCUGAAAGGAAGAUCAGCCACACUGGAACUGAGACACGGUCCAGACUCCUACGGGAGGCAGCAGUGGGGAAUAUUGCACAGUGGGGGAAACCCUGAUGCACCCAUGCCGCGUGUGUGAAUAAGGCCUUCGGGUUGUAAAGCACUUUCGGUUGUGAGGAAAGGUUAAUAUUUAAUACCUGCUACCUGUGACGUUAGCAACAGAAAAAGCACCGGCUAACUCCGGGCCAGCAACCGCGGUAAUACGGAGGGUGCAAGCGUUAAUCAGAAUUACUGGGCGUAAAGCGCACGCACGCGGUUUGUUAAGCUACAUGUGAAAGCCCCGGGCUCAACCUGGGAUGGUCAUUUAGAACUGGCACACUAAAGUUUUGAAGAGGGGAGUGGAAUUCCAGGUGUAGCGGUGAAAUGCGUAAAUAUCUGGAGGAACAUCAUUGGCGAAGGCGACUCUCUGGCCAAAGACUGACGCUCAUGUGCGAAAGUGUGGGUAGCGAACAGGAUUAGAUACCCUGGUAGUCCACACCGUAAACGCUGUCUACUAGCUGUUUGUGAAUUUAAUUCGUGAGUAGCGAAGCUAACACGCUAAGUAGACCGCCUGGGGAGUACGGCCGCAAGGUUAAAACUCAAAUGAAUUGACGGGGGCCCCGCACACGCGGUGGAGCAUGUGGUUUAAUUCGAUGCAACGCGAAGAACCUUACCUACACUUGACAUGCAGAGAACUUUCCAGAGAUGGAUUGGCUGCCUUCGGGAACUCUGACACAGGUGCUGCAUGACUGUCGUCAGCUCGUGUCGUGAGAUGUUGGGUUAAGUCCCUGCAACAAGCGCAACCCUUGUCCUUAGUUGACAGCAUUGAGUUGGCACUUUAACGAGACUGCAGGUGACAGACCUGAAGGAAGGUGGCGACGACGUCGAGUCAUGCAUGA
rnacentral:rRNA from 1 species